rnacentral:rRNA from 1 species
AACGAACGCUGGCGGCAUGCCUAACACAUGCAAGUCGAACGAGACCUUCGGGUCUAGUGGCGCACGGGUGCGUAACGCGUGGGAACCUGCCCUUAGGUUCGGAAUAACUCCCCGAAAGGGGUGCUAAUACCGGAUAAUGUCUUCGGACCAAAGAUUUAUCGCCUUUGGAUGGGCCCGCGUUGGAUUAGCCAGUUGGUAGGGUAAAAGCCUACCAAGGCGACGAUCCAUAGCUGGUCUGAGAGGAUGAUCAGCCACACUGGGACUGAGACACGGCCCAGACUCCUACGGGAGGCAGCAGUGGGGAAUAUUGGACAAGGAGCGAAAGCCUGAUCCAGCAAUGCUGCGUGAGUGAUGAAGGCCUUAGGGUUGUAAAGCUCUUUUACCCGGGAUGAGAAUGACAGUACCGGGAGAAUAAGCUCCGGCUAACUCCGUG